CACACGGUGGCGUAGUGGUUAGUGCGUUCGACCUCACACCUCCAGGGUCUGGGGGUUCGAUUCCCACCGGAGCCA